CCCAACCCUGUAAGGCAGAACGGCUGCCCAGCUCGGAUGACGCCACACUAACGUAGCCUCCAGACCGCCCAGUGUGGGUGUGUCCAAGCUCACGUCGCCCGGCGUGGCCCCCCCGCUCCCCAAUGACGUAACUGCCCUGCAGCUUCUAGUAGCUUUUCGCAGCGUCUCCGACCGCCGGGCGCGGUGGCGCGUGCCUGUAGUCCCAGCUACUCGGGAGGCUGAGGUGGGAGGAUCGCUUGAGCCCAGGAGUUCUGGGCUGUAGUGCGCUAUGCCGAUCGGGUGUCCGCACUAAGUUCGGCAUCAAUAUGGUGACCUCCCGGGAGCGGGGGACCACCAGGUUGCCUAAGGAGGGGUGAACCGGCCCAGGUCGGAAACGGAGCAGGUCAAAACUCCCGUGCUGAUCAGUAGUGGGAUCGCGCCUGUGAAUAGCCACUGCACUCCAGCCUGAGCAACAUAGCGAGACCCCGUCUCUUUUGCCCCCCUCCCUCAUUAAGGGUACCUUUCGCGAAAGCUCACCAGUUGACGGGAUGCUUGGGGAUUUGCAACCGCCUCAUCGCUGCCCCCUACCGGCGCAUAUUCAAAACGUCUCUGCGAAAAGCUGUUAUUACCUUCGGAGCCAACAGGGGCUGCUCGUUUACCCACAGACAGUCGGAAAAAAAUGGCCGCCGGAUCACAGAGAGCAAAAAGUACGUUCUCUUAAAGAAUUUCCAAGUUCUUCCCGCGGCCGUUCAGGAUGCUGCUUGCAGUUACCAACAUUAUUCCCCUGCACUGAGCUGACCUGAGCUUCCCUGCCUACCUCCUGUCACGGAUGUCACCUUCUUUCACCCCUGUCCUGUCAAGGUUUUUGCUUUAGAAUGCUAUAGACCAAAGACGGGCUAAUCAACAGUCUUACACACAAAUCCUUUCGUUCUACUUGGCUACAGGCAGGGCUAAUCUUCCGAAGAGGAAUCCCACUACUGCCUCCUUAUAAGGGAAAAACUCCUCUCAGAGGAACCCAGAACGCCCUGUGAUGACAGAGGUGAGGGGCCAGCGUGGCAGAAUGCACCACCCUGUCUCCUCGCUUGCUUCUCUCUCCGUCGGAUUGCCAAAAAGGGAACGGCACCUAGACGCCGAAAAGUAACUGAAGCAAAGGGAGUUUAAAGAACGCGCCCAGCCGCCUGGGUCUUGAACCCAGUGUUAAUGAGAGCAAAAACCUCUGCAUCCUCCACUGAGCUGUCCUUGAGCAUGUCUCAUAAUCAUGCUUCAUUUUAAAAACAGAAAUAAUUCAUUGCAUUUUGAACAAGGAUAACUGUCAGAAAAGAUCCUCUUUGAAUAAAACAGGUAUCUCCCCCAUGGCUGCUUCUGGGUCUGCCCUCUGCAACCACAUGGAAUAGGUCUGAUUCCGGUUCUUCAGGACAACUUUUCAAGAAUUAAAAAAUCACCUCCAAAUGAAUGCAUUUUUACAAAAUGAAAAUAGGUAGAGAUGCUAUUUUAAAAAAAAAAAAACUUUACCUUCUCACCAACCUUAAAAUAAGAAGCAAAAUAAUUUUGGUAUAUCUUUUUUUUUUUUUUUUUGAGACAGAGUCUUGCUCUGUCUCCCAGGCUGGAGUUCCGGGGAGCGAUCUCUGCUCACUGCAACCUCUGCCUCCCGGGUUCAAGCGCUUCACCUGCCUCAAGCCUCCCGAGUAGCUGGGAUUACAGGCACACACCAGCAUGCCCGGCUAAUUUUUGUAUCUCUUGUUUUUCACUAAAUGGAUCCCUGAAUUGGACCCAGAAUGACUUAGCUAUGGAUGUAAGAACUGCUUUUGAGUAGCUGCCUCCAUUAGCCCUGGGGUUCCUACUUCCUGAGUACCAUGACCUCUGGGAUAACUCAGCUUUGUGGAACUGAGGUGCAAUAGGCAGCAUAAUGACCCCCUCCCCAAAGAUAUCUAUGUGCUAACUAACCAAGGAAUGUGGACAGCCCCCUGAAGCUGGAAAAGGCAAGGAAAGGGAUUCUCUUCAAGAGUUUCCAGAAGGAAUGCAGCCCUCUUCACCAAUUUGGUACUUCUGAUCUCCAGAACUCUUAAAUAAUAAAUUUGGCCGCAUGUAGUGGCUCACACCUGUAAUUCCCAGCACUUUGAGAGGCCAAGGAAGGUGGAUUGCUUGAGCUCAGGAUUUGGAGACCAGCCUGCACAAAAUGGUGAAACCCUGUCUCUACAAAAAAUAUGAAAAUUAACCAUGUGUGGUAGUAUGUGCCUGUAGUCUCAGCUACCAGGGAGGCUGAGGUGGGAGGAUCACCUGAGCCCAGGAGGUUGAGGCUGCAGUGAGUUGUUAGUGUCCCACUGCAUUCCAGCCAAGGGGACAGAGUGAGACCCCAUCUCAAUAAUAAUAAUAAUAAAUUUAUGUUGUUUAAGCCUCUAAAUUUGUGGUAAUUUGAUACAGCAAAUUACCACAGAAUAGGAAAGUAAUACAUGGGGGGAAUCAAGCUCAGUCUGUAA
rnacentral:lncRNA from 1 species